UGUAGCGGUGAAAUGCGCAGAUAUCAGGAAGAACACCGAUGGCGAAGGCAGGUCUCUGGGCUGUUACUGACGCUGAGGAGCGAAAGCAUGGGGAGCGAACAGGAUUAGAUACCCUGGUAGUCCAUGCCGUAAACGUUGGGCACUAGGUGUGGGGGACAUUCCACGUUUUCCGCGCCGUAGCUAACGCAUUAAGUGCCCCGCCUGGGGAGUACGGCCGCAAGGCUAAAACUCAAAGGAAUUGACGGGGGCCCGCACAAGCGGCGGAGCAUGCGGAUUAAUUCGAUGCAACGCGAAGAACCUUACCAAGGCUUGACAUACACCGGAUCGGCUCAGAGAUGGGUUUUCCUCCUUGUGGGGCUGGUGUACAGGUGGUGCAUGGUGGUCGUCAGCUCGUGUCGUGAGAUGUUGGGUUAAGUCCCGCAACGAGCGCAACCCUCCUUCUAUGUUGCCAGCACGUGAUGGUGGGGAAUCAUAGGAGACUGCCGGGGUCAACUCGGAGGAAGGUGGGGAUGACGUCAAAUCAUCAUGCCCCUUAUGUCCUGGGCUUCACGCCUGGUACAAUGGCCAGUACAAUGGGU
rnacentral:rRNA from 1 species